UACGUAUGGAGCAAGCGUUAUCCGGAUUUACUGGGUGUAAAGGGAGCGCAGGCGGUCUGGCAAGUCUGAUGUGAAAUACCGGGGCUCAACUCCGGGACUGCAUUGGAAACUGUCAGACUGGAGUGUCGGAGAGGCAGGCGGAAUUCCUGGUGUAGCGGUGAAAUGCGUAGAUAUCAGGAGGAACACCAGUGGCGAAGGCGGCCUGCUGGACGAUGACUGACGCUGAGGCUCGAAAGCGUGGGGAGCAAACAGG
rnacentral:rRNA from 1 species